rnacentral:rRNA from 1 species
UACGUAGGGUCCGAGCGUUGUCCGGAAUCAUUGGGCGUAAAGCGCACGUAGGCGGUUCGUUAUGUCGGAUGUGAAAGCCCUUGGCUUAACCGAGGAAGUGCAUCCGAAACUGGCGAGCUAGAGUACGAAAGAGGAUCGCGGAAUUCCCGGUGUAGAGGUGAAAUUCGUAGAUAUCGGGAGGAACACCGGUGGCGAAGGCGGCGAUCUGGGUCGAUACUGACGCUGAGGUGCGAAAGCGUGGGGAGCAAACAGG